UAGGGAAUCUUCGGCAAUGGACGAAAGUCUGACCGAGCAACGCCGCGCGAGUGAAGAAGGUUUUCGGAUCGUAAAACUCUGUUGUUAGAGAAGAACAAGGACGUUAGUAACUGAACGUCCCCUGACGGUAUCUAACCAGAAAGCCACGGCUAACUACGUGCCAGCAGCCGCGGUAAUACGUAGGUGGCAAGCGUUGUCCGGAUUUAUUGGGCGUAAAGCGAGCGCAGGCGGUUUCUUAAGUCUGAUGUGAAAGCCCCCGGCUCAACCGGGGAGGGUCAUUGGAAACUGGGAGACUUGAGUGCAGAAGAGGAGAGUGGAAUUCCAUGUGUAGCGGUGAAAUGCGUAGAUAUAUGGAGGAACACCAGUGGCGAAGGCGGCUCUCUGGUCUGUAACUGACGCUGAGGCUCGAGAGCGUGGGGAGCAAACAGG
rnacentral:rRNA from 1 species